GAAACACAGCAACCAUCCCCACCACUCCUCCAAUCCCACCCACUCGCUCAGCAGCUCGAAGAGGAUCGUCGGCCAUGUCCGGGCGCGGCAAGGGAGGCAAGGGUCUCGGCAAGGGCGGCGCCAAGCGCCACCGUAAGGUGCUGCGCGACAACAUCCAGGGCAUCACCAAGCCUGCCAUCCGUCGCCUGGCGAGGAGGGGCGGCGUGAAGCGCAUCUCCGGCCUCAUCUACGAGGAGACCCGCGGCGUGCUCAAGAUCUUCCUCGAGAACGUCAUCCGCGACGCCGUCACCUACACCGAGCACGCCCGCCGCAAGACCGUCACCGCCAUGGACGUCGUCUAUGCCCUCAAGCGCCAGGGCCGCACCCUCUACGGCUUCGGCGGCUAGUCUCUUUGUAGCUCCCCGCAUAUUCCGAUGUGUUUGUAAGACUGCGCGCAGGUGUCUCUCUGUGGAGACUUCUUAGAUGAAGUGAAAUCCCCAUGUUUAUUUCCACUGUCUGCUUAUUAGUAGGAUGAACUGUAUCGUGAAACAGAGUUAUUGGCCUCUGAAGCUUGAAUCCAAACUUGUUUCCAUGCAAA